rnacentral:rRNA from 1 species
GCCUUAGUAGCGGCGAGUGAAGCGGCAAAAGCUCAAAUUUGAAAUCUGGCACCUUCGGUGUCCGAGUUGUAAUUUGAAGAUUGUAACCUUGGGGUUGGCUCUUGUCUAUGUUUCUUGGAACAGGACGUCACAGAGGGUGAGAAUCCCGUGCGAUGAGAUGCCCAAUCCUAUGUAAGGUGCUUUCGAAGAGUCGAGUUGUUUGGGAAUGCAGCUCUAAGUGGGUGGUAAAUUCCAUCUAAAGCUAAAUAUUGGCGAGAGACCGAUAGCGAACAAGUACAGUGAUGGAAAGAUGAAAAGAACUUUGAAAAGAGAGUGAAAAAGUACGUGAAAUUGUUGAAAGGGAAGGGUUUGAGAUCAGACUCGAUAUUUUGUGAGCCUUGCCUUCGUGGCGGGGUGACCCGCAGCUUAUCGGGCCAGCAUCGGUUUGGGCGGUAGGAUAAUGGCGUAGGAAUGUGACUUUGCUUCGGUGAAGUGUUAUAGCCUGCGUUGAUGCUGCCUGCCUAGACCGAGGACUGCGAUUUUAUCAAGGAUGCUGGCAUAAUGAUCCCAAACCGCCCGUCUUG